AGGAGAAUGUGAUAUUGGGAACAGAUUAUCCAUUUCCACUUGGGGAACAUGAGCCUGGAAAACUGAUUGAAUCAAUGGAGGACUUUGAUGAGCAAUUAAAAGAGAAACUCAAAUCUGGCAAUGCACUUGCAUUUUUGAAUAUUGACAGAAAACAAUUUGAGUAAUAGAAGAACUGCUGUAAUUAUAAAUCAACACUUUUAGGUUCUGGAAGACAACCAUAAACCUCAACUUCAUAUUUAUGCAGUUUCAUGCCAAUUUCAGAUAAUAUACAUGUACUGAAAACGUGAAUCCGGGUUAUAAUAAAAUCUUAUAAAAGCUGUAUGAGAA